AGUGAACGCUGGCGGUAGGCCUAACACAUGCAAGUCGAACGGCAGCACAGUAAGAGCUUGCUCUUACGGGUGGCGAGUGGCGGACGGGUGAGGAAUACAUCGGCAUCUACUUUUUCGUGGGGGAUAACGUAGGGAAACUUACGCUAAUACCGCAUACGACCUACGGGUGAAAGCAGGGGAUCUUCGGACCUUGCGCGUUUGAAUGAGCCGAUGUCGGAUUAGCUAGUUGGCGGGGUAAAGGCCCACCAAGGCGACGAUCCGUAGCUGGUCUGAGAGGAUGAUCAGCCACACUGGAACUGAGACACGGUCCAGACUCCUACGGGAGGCAGCAGUGGGGAAUAUUGGACAGUGGGCGCAAGCCUGAUCCAGCCAUACCGCGUGGGUGAAGAAGGCCUUCGGGUUGUAAAGCCCUUUUGUUGGGAAAGAAAGGCAGCAGGUUAAUACCCCGCUGUUCUGACGGUACCCAAAGAAUAAGCACCGGCUAACUUCGUG
rnacentral:rRNA from 1 species